rnacentral:rRNA from 1 species
AUCGAACGCUGGCGGCAGGCCUAACACAUGCAAGUCGAGCGGAUGAAGCGUGCUUGCUUCUGGAUUCAGCGGCGGACGGGUGAGUAAUGCCUAGGAAUCUGCCUGGUAGUGGGGGAUAACGACCGGAGACGGGCGCUACUACCGCAUACGUCCUGCGGGAGCAAGUGGGGGAUCUUCGGACCUCACGCUAUCAGAUGAGCCUAGGUCGGAUUAGCUAGCUGGUGGGGUAAAGGCCUACCAAGGCGACGAUCCGUAACUGGUCGGAGAGGAUGAUCAGUCACCCUGGAACGUGAACACGGACCAGACUCCUACGGGAGGCGGCAGUGGGGAAUAUUGGACAAUGGGCGAAAGCCUGAUCCAGCCAUGCCGCGUGUGUGAAGAAGGUCUUCGGAUUGUAAAGCACUUUAAGUUGGGAGGAAGGGCAGUAAGUUAAUACCUUGCUGUUUUGACGUUACCAACAGAAUAAGCACCGGCUAACUUCGUG